GGUUUUAUAGUCAAUGCAUGAUGUUAAAUUGCAAGUUUAAAGUAGAGAAUUUCUCUAAAACCU
rnacentral:tRNA from 1 species